rnacentral:rRNA from 1 species
UACGGAGGGUGCAAGCGUUAUCCGGAUUUACUGGGUUUAAAGGGCGCGUAGGUGGGUCGGUAAGUCAGUGGUGAAAUCUUCGAGCUUAACUCGGAAACUGCCAUUGAUACUAUCGAUCUUGAAUUAUCUGGAGGUAAGCGGAAUAUGUCAUGUAGCGGUGAAAUGCUUAGAUAUGACAUAGAACACCCAUUGCGAAGGCAGCUUACUACGGAUAUAUUGACACUGAGGCUCGAAAGCGUGGGGAUCAAACAGG